GAUUCCGUAGAGCGGAGCCCCGGCGCUGACGGCGAGGCUGGAGCACCCACGGACGUCGUUUGCGCAGUCCACGCCGCGGCAGAGAGAGUUCUGGCGGAGCUUACGAACUCUACGUAGCCGCUAGGGAGAGCUCUUCAAUGGCUUACGCUCGAGUAGCGGGAGGGCAGCGCCGAGGGGCGGGGACUGCCCGGGCCCGGCCCCGGACGGUGACGUACCGGGCUUUGUGAAUCCCAGGCUGAAGUUCGGUUGAGUCACAGGAGGCCUGCAGGAGGUACCCUCGGGGACCGGCUGGUCCUGCUCUCUGGGCAGCGCUGAGCCAGGGCAAAGCUGCAAGCAAGCAGUCGUGGACCACACAGGACCGGCGACACGAAGCGCAGACUCUUCAAGACCCACAUGUUGGGAAGGAACCAGCAAUGUUUUCUGUGAGCAAGACACACACUGCUUCUUCACGAGGAACCCACCAUCCUUCUUGCAAAUCUCCCUUCCUAAAACCAUCCUUAGACCUUCUCUAUACCUGCCCUUUAUGUCCGGCACACAGGCUGCAGAGCUGGAACCCUGCUACACACAGCCUUCCCAGGAACCACGAAGAAAGCUCAGUGCAAAGGUUUGUGGCUGAAUGAGGGUGUUUCUGCAUAUUCUGAGACUGAGCAGGGGGUGGAGCAGGGAGGAGAAGAAAAAAUGACAGCUACAAGCUGGACAGGUACUGAACAAGUAAAACUAAGGGGUCAGAUUGCUCAAAAGGGAUCUGAUUUCCCUGGUUUUCCUGCUGUAAAA